UAUCUCUGUAGAGUCUGCAUAUCAAUAAGCGGAGGAAAAGAAACUAACUAGGAUUCCCUCAGUAACGGCGAGUGAAGCGGGAAGAGCUCAAAUUUGAAAUCUUCAAGGUUCUACCUUGACGAAUUGUAGUUUAAAGAAGUGUUUUCUGUUGGAGUUUCGGUAAAAGUUCUUUGGAAUAGGACAUCAUAGAGGGUGAGAAUCCCGUAUUUGACCGUUAUUUUCAGCUGUGUGAUACACUUUCAAAGAGUCGGAUUGUUUGGGAAUGCAGUCCAAAAUGGGUGGUAAAUUUCAUCUAAAGCUAAAUAUUGGCGAGAGACCGAUAGCGAACAAGUACCGUGAGGGAAAGAUGAAAAGAACUUUGAAAAGAGAGUUAAACAGUACGUGAAAUUGUCAAAAGGGAAGCGUUUGACACCAGUGUUGUUUUCUCGAAAAUCAAUUAAAAAUGGCUUGAUUUUGUGUUGUAUUGACCUUAAAAGCUUUCUUCACUUUUUUCCUGUCUUUUUUAAUGCACUUUUCGUUUAACAAGUCAACAUCAGUUUCUUUUGCUGUAAAAGGGUCAUUGGAAGGUGGCUUUCUUUUCGGAGAAAGUGUUUAUAGCCUUUGACUUCUGCAAUCGGAGAGAUUGAGGUCUGCAGCGUAGAUCCUUCUGGAUUAGAUUCAUUUGUGCUAAGUUAUAGCCUUUCAUAGACAACUUGUUGACUAUGAUCAGUCAUGUAGCUUACUCGCUUAUGUUAUUUUACCUACGCUUAGGAUGUUGAUCUCUCACAGUCGAGC
rnacentral:rRNA from 1 species